rnacentral:rRNA from 1 species
CCCUUAGAUGUCCUGGGCCGUACGCGCGCUACACUGAUGCAUUCAACGAGUUUUACCUUGGCCGAGAGGCCUGGGCAAUCUUUUGAACCUGCAUCGUGAUAGGGAUAGAUUAUUGCAAUUAUUAAUCUUGAACGAGGAAUUCCUAGUAAACGCAGAUCAUCAAUCUGCAUUGAUUACGUCCCUGCCCUUUGUACACACCGCCCGUCGCACCUACCGAUUGAAUGGUCCGGUGAAGCCUCGGGAUUGUGGCGAGUUCCCUUUAUUGGGAGUUUGUCGCGAGAACUUGUCUAAACCUUAUCAUUUAGAGGAAGGUGAANUCGUANCA